AUGUUGCGGACUAUUAGCAGGUUAUUUACUUUUGUAAUUAAUGUAGAUAUAAAAAAUCAAAAAUACUUUUAUCUCAUCAUCAACUUGCCACAGCCACGCAGCAAGGGACUAGUUUCCGUGAGAGGGAGAGGAGGAGGAGGGGAGGAUCAGCGGCUGAGCAGGGUGGGGUCGAGGCCGCCGUGCUGCGUGUGCGAGCGGAGGUGCGGCGGCUGCGCGCCGUGCACGGCCGUGCAGGUGCGCGCCGGAGUUCGGCCGCUGUGCGCCAACUACGAGCCCGUCAGGUGGAAGUGCAAGUGCGGCGACGCCGUCUUCGACCCAUGA
rnacentral:rRNA from 1 species